UUCUUAGGGUUAAAAUCUUAAGUAAGACCUGCUAAAUGUUAUUACAUACAUUAAUAGCUGCGGGAGACUGUACUAAGGUAGCAUAAUAAUUAGUUCUUUUAUUGAGAUCUGGCAUGAAGGGUUAAAUGAAUAAAAAUUAGUAUUUUUUGGAUAAAUUGAAUUUUAAUUUUUAGUAAAAAUGCUGAAAUAUAAUUUAGGGACAAGAAGACCCUAUAAAGCUUUAAAAUCUUCCUAUUUUUAAAAAUAGGAAGAUUUUUUUAUUGGGGAAAUAUAAUAAUAAAGGAAUUUAUUAUUGAUCCAAAAAUUUUGAAUAUAAGAAGAAGUUACUUUAGGGAUAACAGCAUAAUAAAGUAAUUAAAGUUCAUAUUUAAUUAUUUGAUUAUGACCUCGAUGUUGGAUUAAUAAUUCUAUUGGGUGCAAUAACUUAAUGAGAUAGUCUGUUCGACUAUUAAAUUAUUACA
rnacentral:rRNA from 1 species